UACGGAGGGUGCAAGCAUUGAUCGGAAUUACUGGGCGUAAAGGGCGCGUAGGCGGUCUGAAAAGUCAGAUGUGAAAUUUCGGGGCUCAACCCCGAAACUGCAUUUGAAACUUUCAGGCUAGAGGGUAGUUAGGGAAAACGGAAUUCCACGUGUAGCGGUGAAAUGCGUAGAUAUGUGGAAGAACACCGGUGGUGAAGACGGUUUUCUGGGCUAUGCCUGACGCUGAGGCGCGAAAGCUAGGGGAGCAAAC
rnacentral:rRNA from 1 species